rnacentral:rRNA from 1 species
UACUCUCAGCAAUAGAUAUCUAGGCUCUCACAACAAUUAAGAACGUAGUGAAAUGUGAUACAUGAUGUGAAUUGCAAAAUUCUAUGAAUUAUCAAAGGGUAUGUGCUUGAGCGCUUGCGCGGAUGAAUAGCGAUGACUUUUCACUCGCAGUCUCAGAAAAU